rnacentral:rRNA from 2 species
AGCUCCAAUAGCGUAUAUUAAAGUUGUUGCGGUUAAAAAGCUCGUAGUUGGAUCUCGGCAGGUAGGGGGCGGUUCGUUUCUGACGGCACUGCCCCAUUUACCUGUGUUUUUGACGGAGGUUUCACGGUGAUUUUCAUCGAUUGUCGUGAUACGCCGUCAGGUUUACUUUGAAAAAAUUAGAGUGCUCAAAGCAGGCUACAAGCUUGAAUAUUUGUGCAUGGAAUAAUGGAAUAGGAAGUCGUUUCUAUUUUUUUGGUUUUCGGAAAUUGACUUAAUGAUUAAUAGGGACAGCCGGGGGCAUUCGUACUCAGACGACAGAGGUGAAAUUCUUGGACCGUCUGAGGACGAGCUACUGCGAAAGCAUUUGCCAAGAGUGUUUUCA